ensembl:lncRNA
GGAAACCUGGAGGUUCCCUCCAGAUUUCACAACGCUUUCUUUCCACUCUCCUUAUGUUUCAGGUCUUGGAUCUCUUCCUGGGCUCCUGCACUCUGAUAUCCAUCUCACCCGCUUGUAAGCAUCCAUCACAGCAGGCGUGGAAACCUGGAGGUCCCCUCCAGAUUUCACAACGCUUUCUUUCCAAUCUCCUUAUGUUUCAGGUCUUGGACCUGUUCCUGGGCUCCUGCACUCUGAUAUCCAUCUCACCCGCUUGUAAGUAUCCGUCACAGCAGGCGUGGAAACCUGGAGGUUCCCUCCAGAUUUCACAACGCUUUCUUUCCAAUCUCCUUAUGUUUCAGGUCUUGGAUCUGUUCCUGGGCUCCUGCACACUGAUAUCCAUCUCACCCACUUGUCUUGGACCUGUUCCUGGGCUCCUGCACUCUGAUAUCCAUCUCACCCACUUGUAAGUAUCCGUCACAGCCGGGCUACAACAGCAGAAGACUACAUCAGGUCCCACUCCUGUCAACUAAGACAGCACAGGCUCACCAAAAUUGGAAAUUGGAAGAGUGGAAAAACAAUAUGAGCAACAUUCAGAAGGUAGGGUCAGAAUUUUGCAUAAAAAAGACGAAAGUGUGUCUCCGUCAUGCCUCGUUCAGGCAGUUUUGCUAUACUCUUGGCUGUAAAUUACUUCAGGUGAAUGGAAUGUCUCUAAAUGCUCAUCUCAGCCAAAAAGCCAAGGAGUUUUUUAAAAACUGUGAAUCAUGCAAAACCGCUCUGGUAAAAUGCAGGAAUUGUUUUAAAAAAGGGAAAUGAGCAUAAUAAGUUCCCUUUGACAAUAAUUUUUUUUUAAUAUCACAAAUUAUUAUGAUCCUACUUUACGUCUGAUCGCUGUACUCAAGUAAUUACACUAAGUCAUGCAACUGUUUUGUGUUAGUUCUUGACAGGGAAGCACGUUUUCUUUCUGGCUGCUUCUCUGUGGUCUGACCAGAAACUAACUCAUCCUUAUUCUAGAAAGUGAACCACAACAUGUGGCAACAGAGCCCACAAACAUGAGCUCAUUCCUCUUGAGGGAAACUAGCAACUGAAAAAAACAGAGAUAGAAAGAGAGAAAGUCCCAGUGUUCCUCUCCACAUCCAUUUGUCUUUGGACUACAUUCCUGCUCCUCUUCCUCAAAUGAAAUGGUUAUCCCUGCAAACAAUGAGAAGACUGAGCUGCAGGAGCAUCUGCAGCAUGUGAAGUGGGACAUGAAACAAAAAUUGGCUCACAAGGUCGAGGUCAACUUCAGCAUCAGCACAUUCUUUGAGCCAAGGCGUUGGAGAGAAAGCAGGCGCGAACUGAAAAUGGCCCUAGUCUCUUCCUAACAUGCUUUUAUUUCCCACAUACUUUGUGAUCAGCAGGC